AUGCAACUGCGACGGGAAAAGGGGUUGUGCUUUACUUGCAACGAUAAAUUCUCGUGGAAGCACAAAUGUCCGAAUCGCCAAUACAUGAUUCUGCAGGUGGAUGAACCGGAUGGCGAUGUUUCCUCCUCUGUUGUCGCCGAACCUGUUCCACCGGAUCUUCCGUCGGAUGAUUCUCCAACUUUGCAUCAUUUGCACCACCGUGCGCAUUCUUCUCGAUGGUGGCAGUUCUGA
rnacentral:lncRNA from 1 species